UACGAAGGGAGCUAGCGUUGUUCGGAAUCACUGGGCGUAAAGCGCGCGUAGGCGGCUUUGCAAGUCAGAGGUGAAAUCCCACAGCUUAACUGUGGAACUGCCUUUGAAACUGCAAGGCUAGAAUGUGAGAAGGGAUGGCGGAAUUCCUAAUGUAGAGGUGAAAUUCGUAGAUAUUAGGAGGAACACCUGUGGCGAAAGCGGCCAUCUGGAUCACAAUUGACGCUGAAGUGCGAAAGCGUGGGUAGCAAAC
rnacentral:rRNA from 1 species